rnacentral:rRNA from 1 species
CCUACGGGAGGCAGCAGUGAGGAAUAUUGGUCAAUGGACGAGAGUCUGAACCAGCCAAGUAGCGUGAAGGAUGAUUGCCCUAUGGGUUGUAAACUUCUUUUAUAAAGGAAUAAAACGAGGCACGUGUGCCUGUUUGCAUGUACUUUAUGAAUAAGGAUCGGCUAACUCCGUGCCAGCAGCCGCGGUAAUACGGAGGAUCCGAGCGUUAUCCGGAUUUAUUGGGUUUAAAGGGAGCGUAGAUGGGUUGUUAAGUCAGUUGUGAAAGUUUGCGGCUCAACCGUAAAAUUGCAAUUGAUACUGGCAGUCUUGAGUACAGUUGAGGUAGGCGGAAUUCGUGGUGUAGCGGUGAAAUGCUUAGAUAUCACGAAGAACCCCGAUUGCGAAGGCAGCUUACUAACCUGUGACUGACAUUGAUGCUCGAAAGUGUGGGUAUCAAACAGGAUUAGAUACCCGUGUAGUC